UACGGAGGGUGCAAGCAUUGAUCGGAAUUACUGGGCGUAAAGGGCGCGUAGGCGGCCUUGAAAGUCAGAUGUGAAAUCCAGGGGCUCAACCCCUGGGCUGCAUUUGAAACUUCAAGGCUAGAGUUCAGUUAGGGUAAACGGAAUUCCACGUGUAGCGGUGAAAUGCGUAGAUAUGUGGAAGAACACCGGUGGUGAAAACGGUUUACUGGGCUGAGACUGACGCUGAGGCGCGAAAGCAUGGGGAGCAAACAGG
rnacentral:rRNA from 1 species